GACGAACGCUGGCGGCGUGCCUAAUACAUGCAAGUAGAACGCUGAAGAGAGGAGCUUGCUCUUCUUGGAUGAGUUGCGAACGGGUGAGUAACGCGUAGGUAACCUGCCUUGUAGCGGGGGAUAACUAUUGGAAACGAUAGCUAAUACCGCAUAACAAUGGAUGACACAUGUCAUUUAUUUGAAAGGGGCAAUUGCUCCACUACAAGAUGGACCUGCGUUGUAUUAGCUAGUAGGUGAGGUAACGGCUCACCUAGGCGACGAUACAUAGCCGACCUGAGAGGGGGAUCGGCCACACUGGGACUGAGACACGGCCCAGACUCCUACGGGAGGCAGCAGUAGGGAAUCUUCGGCAAUGGGGGCAACCCUGACCGAGCAACGCCGCGUGAGUGAAGAAGGUUGUCGGAUCGUAAAGCUCUGUUGUAAGUCAAGAACGAGUGUGAGAGUGGAAAGUUCACACUGUGACGGUAGCUUACCAGAAAGGGACGGCUAACUACGUG
rnacentral:rRNA from 1 species